UUGAGUAAAAGUCGUAACAAGGUUUCCGUAGGUGAACCUGCGGAAGGAUCAUUAUUGAAUAAACUUGGUAGAGGUUGUUGCUGGUUCUUAGGAGCAAGUGCACGCCUUUCCAUCUUUACUUCUCCACCUGUGCACCUUUUGUAGUCUUUUGAAAUUAGAGAGCAGUUACUCGGGGGAACUCGGAUAGAGGAUCUGCUGUGCGCAAGCCAGCUUUCCUUGUAUUGUCUUUCAAUUUUUAAAGGUCUACGUUUUUCAUAUACCCCAAAUGUAUGUUAAGAAUGUAAUCAAUGGGCUUUAUUGCCUAUAAAACAAAUACAACUUUCAGCAACGGAUCUCUUGGCUCUCGCAUCGAUGAAGAACGCAGCGAAAUGCGAUAAGUAAUGUGAAUUGCAGAAUUCAGUGAAUCAUCGAAUCUUUGAACGCACCUUGCGCUCCUUGGUAUUCCGAGGAGCAUGCUUGUUUGAGUGUCAUUAAAUUCUCAACCCUUUCAAAGUUUUUAUCAACUUUGAAGUAGGGCUUGGAUUUGGGUGUUGCCGGCUUUUCAAUAGUCGGCUCUCCUUAAAAGCAUUAGCGGAACUUUUUGUAAGCCGUCUACAUAGUGUGAUAAUUAUCUACGCUAUUGAUGUUGCUUACGCUAAUAUAAUAAGAGUUCAGCUUCUAAUAGUCCAUCUACUUGGACAAUAUCAAUAUUCGUAUUGAUGACCAUUUGACCUCAAAUCAAGUAGGACUACCCGCUGAACUUAAGC
rnacentral:rRNA from 1 species